rnacentral:tRNA from 1 species
GGGUCCAUAGCUCAGUGGUAGAGCACUACCUUGACACGGUAGGGGUCGGAGGUUCGAAACCUCCUGGACCCA